UUACAAGAGAAUCAUGAGCUUCACGGUC
rnacentral:piRNA from 1 species